AAGACUUUAAGUUAAAAAAACUAUUAACCUUCAAAGCUAAAUAUAUAAGAUAAUCUUUUAAGUCUUA
rnacentral:tRNA from 1 species